rnacentral:rRNA from 1 species
UACGUAGGGCGCAAGCGUUGUCCGGAAUUAUUGGGCGUAAAGAGCUCGUAGGCGGCCUGUCGCGUCCGCUGUGAAAUCCCGGGGCUUAACCCCGGGCGUGCAGUGGAUACGGGCUGGCUGGAGGCAGGCAGGGGAGAACGGAAUUCCCGGUGGUAGCGGUGAAAUGCGCAGAUAUCGGGAGGAACACCGGUGGCGAAGGCGGUUCUCUGGGCCUGUACUGACGCUGAGGAGCGAAAGCGUGGGGAGCGAACAGG